UACGUAGGCAGCAAGCGUUGUUCGGAGUUACUGGGCGUAAAGGGUGCGUAGGCGGCCGCAAAAGUAUGGUGUGAAAUCUCCCGGCUUAACUGGGAGGGUGCGCUAUAAACUGCGUGGCUAGAGUGUGGGAGAGGAAAGUGGAAUUCCUGGUGUAGCGGUGAAAUGCGUAGAUAUCGGGAGGAACACCUGUGGCGAAGGCGGCCCCCUGGUUGGAUACUGACGCUGAUACGCGAAAGCGUGGGGAGCAAACAGG
rnacentral:rRNA from 1 species